CCUACGGGGGGCAGCAGUGGGGAAUAUUGGUCAAUGGGCGUAAGCCUGAACCAGCAAAGUCGCGUGAGGGAUGAAGGUUCUAUGGAUCGUAAACCUCUUUUAUAAGGGCAUAGAGUGCGGGACUUGUCCCGUUUUGAAUGUACCUUAUCAAUAUGGAUCGGCUAACUCCGUGCCAGCAGCCGCGGUAAUACGGAGGAUCCGAGCGUUAUCCGGAUUUAUUGGGUUUAAAGGGUGCGUAGGCGGCCUUUUAAGUCAGCGGUGAAAGCCUGUGGCUCAACCAUAGAACUGCCGUUGAAACUGGGAGGCUUGAGUAUGUUUGAGGCAGGCGGAAUGCGUGGUGUAGCGGUGAAAUGCGUAGAUAUCACGAAGAACCCCGAUUGCGAAGGCAGCCUGCUAAGCCAUGACUGACGCUGAUGCACGAAAGCGUGGGGAUCAAACAGGAUUAGAUACCCGGGUAGUC
rnacentral:rRNA from 1 species